rnacentral:rRNA from 1 species
UAGAGUUUGAUCAUGGCUCAGGAUGAACGCUAGCGACAGGCUUAACACAUGCAAGUCGAGGGGCAGCGGGGGUGAUGGCUUGCCAUCACCUGCCGGCGACCGGCGCACGGGUGAGUAACACGUAUGCAACCUGCCCGCCACAGGGGGAUAAGCGGAAGAAAUUCCGUCUAAUACCGCGUGACGCGGCGUCGGGGCAUCCCGGUGCCGCCAAAGGGAUUACCGGUGGCGGAUGGGCAUGCGGCGCAUUAGCUAGUCGGCGGGGUAACGGCCCACCGAGGCGACGAUGCGUAGGGGUUCUGAGAGGAAGGUCCCCCACACUGGUACUGAGACACGGACCAGACUCCUACGGGAGGCAGCAGUGAGGAAUAUUGGUCAAUGGGCGCGAGCCUGAACCAGCCAAGUCGCGUGAGGGAUGACGGUCCUACGGAUUGUAAACCUCUUUUGCCGGGGAGCAAGCGUGCGUUCGUGAACGCGCGUCGAGAGUACCCGGAGAAAAAGCAUCGGCUAACUCCGUGCCAGCAGCCGCGGUAAUACGGAGGAUGCGAGCGUUAUCCGGAUUUAUUGGGUUUAAAGGGUGCGUAGGCGGGAUGCCAAGUCAGCGGUAAAAAAGCGGUGCUCAACGCCGUCGAGCCGUUGAAACUGGCGUUCUUGAGUGGGCGAGAAGUAUGCGGAAUGCGUGGUGUAGCGGUGAAAUGCAUAGAUAUCACGCAGAACUCCGAUUGCGAAGGCAGCAUACCGGCGCCCUACUGACGCUGAGGCACGAAAGCGUGGGUAUCGAACAGGAUUAGAUACCCUGGUAGUCCACGCAGUAAACGAUGAAUGCUAACUGUCCGGUGCGAGUGAGCGCUGGGCGGUACAGCGAAAGCGUUAAGCAUUCCACCUGGGGAGU